CAAGGAGAUCGCUUACUUGAAGCUGACUUCGGCCCUGCCUCUAAAGGAGGAAGUGAACAUAUAGGGUGCUCUAAAUUGCUGGGCUGCCCAGGCUGGGCUUGACCUUGUCUUCCCACCUCGGCGUCUACCAUACACCUGGACUGCUGGAGACCUCGUCUGCGGACAGGAGGCAGCUGCCAGACUCCUGGGACCUGGACCACGGCUCCUGUCUGCAGAAGGACUGAGCAAACAGCCAGCGGAUGGGAGAUGAAAAGUGCUGCGGAUGGAACCAGGGCCUGUCAGGCCUAUACUCAUCCCUGAGCUCGGGUCAGGACCUCUAACUGGGUAAGCCCUUUCUCCAUGAAAUCAAACUCUACCCAACAAUCACUUUCUUCACACCGCCCCCUACCACCUCUUUCCUGCCUCU